rnacentral:rRNA from 1 species
AGGACGAACGCUGGCGGCGUGCUUAACACAUGCAAGUCGAGCGGAAAGGCCACUUCGGUGGUACUCGAGCGGCGAACGGGUGAGUAACACGUGAGUAAUCUGCCCUUCACUCUGGGAUAGCCCUCCGAAAGGGGGAUUAAUACCGGAUACGACCACAGGCCGCAUGGUGUUGUGGUGGUAAACUUUUUGGGUGGGGGAUGUGCUCGCGGCCUAUCAGCUUGUUGGUGGGGUAAUGGCCUACCAAGGCUUCGACGGGUAGCCGGCCUGAGAGGGUGACCGGCCACACGUGGGACUGAGACACGGCCCAGACCUCCGACGGGAGCAGCGAGGUGGGGAUAGUGGACAAGUGGGGCGGAAGCCUGAUCCAGCAACGCCGCGUGGAGGGACGACGGUCCGUUCGGGUAC